rnacentral:rRNA from 1 species
UACAGAGGUCUCAAGCGUUGUUCGGAUUCAUUGGGCGUAAAGGGUGCGUAGGCGGUGAGGUAAGUCGGAUGUGAAAUCCCGGGGCUCAGCCCCGGAACUGCAUUCGAUACUGCCUUGCUUGAGCACUGGAGAGGAGACUGGAAUUUACGGUGUAGCAGUGAAAUGCGUAGAUAUCGUAAGGAAGACCAGUGGCGAAGGCGAGUCUCUGGACAGUUGCUGACGCUGAGGCACGAAGGCCAGGGGAGCAAACGGG